UACCAGCACCCCGAGUGGUCGGGACGUUUAUUGGGCCUAAAGCAUCCGUAGCCGGUUCUACAAGUCUUCCGUUAAAUCCACCUGCUCAACAGAUGGGCUGCGGAAGAUACUAUGGAGCUAGGAGGCGGGAGAGGCAAGCGGUACUCGAUGGGUAGGGGUAAAAUCCGUUGAUCCAUUGAAGACCACCAGUGGCGAAGGCGGCUUGCCAGAACGCGCUCGACGGUGAGGGCAUGAAAGCUGGGGGAGCAAACCGG
rnacentral:rRNA from 1 species